rnacentral:lncRNA from 1 species
GCCAUUUUCUCCCCCAAAAUACCACUUUUUCUCCCCCAGAAUAUGACAUCUCCCACAAAAUACCACUUUUCUUCCCAAAAUAAGACAUUUUCACCCCAAAAUCCCACUUUUCUCCCCAAAAUAGAACAUUUUCUCCCCCAAAAUACCACUUUUCUCCCAAAAAUGUCUUUUUCAUUGCCAAAACACAACUUUUCUCCAGAAGAUAAAAUACUGUAGCCACAAAAUACCACCUUUAUCACCAGAAAAUGAGACAUUUUCCCCAUCACAUCCAAUUGUCUGCCCUCCCCUUCCCCAUCUCCCCUAUUAAGAUGUGUAAUAAACUGCUUGGACCAACACCUGAACACCUGCUUCUGAACUUCAUGCCAGGUGUGCAGAUAUCAAAGAACCUCCUCUUCCUCCUAGCAAUUGGAGUGAGGCAAUGUGUCACUGGUGGGUCACUUAUGAGUCGCAUAUGGGGCACUGUGGGUCAGUUGUGGGGCACUUAUGGGGCACAAUGUGUCCUUUAUGGGGUAGUAUGGCUCACUGAGGGUCACUUAUGGGGCACAGAUGAGGACGUCCUGGACACAUGGUUCUCCUCCGGGCCCCACUGAUCAUGCUGUGCCCCACUGAUAACCCUGAGCCCCACUGCUCCCAUUGCUGACUCUGCUCUGUGUUCCCAGCCCAGAACUGCCCACAGCACUCAUGGAGCACCUGGCGUUGGUUGCUGCCAGCCCAGGGAGCACAGGUGCAAGCAAUGAAGCAGGGGGUGGGACAGGGUGGAGCCAGGCUGCAUCCCACCCUGAGCUCAUGGAGGGGCUGGAAGCUGAAGGGUUUGUGCCUGGGGGUUGCUCUGAUGUUGGGUCAGGGGAGUGCUGAGCCUGUUGUUAGUUUGUUGUUAAUUAUUGAUUGUCUUUAUGUUUGUUUUCUGUGGAUGCUGAUGGCAGUGGUUUUUCUGAGCCUUGGAAGGACUCUGCUGAGGGGCUUGAAGGAUCCAGCAAGGAGCCAUAGCAAAGAACGGCGCUCUCUAGCCAUCCUUCCUGGUGUCAGGCAAGCUCUAUUGCUCUUCAAGCCUGUGUUGGCACUUGCGGAGUUUCUGUAGGCUUGGGCUCACCUUGCCUUGGUACUCUCUGAGCUUUCUCUGCUCAUUCCCUAGGCUUUCCAUCAACUUCUCUAGAGGUUUUCAAGCAUCUGUGUCCGUUGGAACAACAGGAGGUGCUGAAGAACUGCAGAGCAGUGCAAGGCCUCUGCUGUGGAUCUUGGUGCUGACAUUGCCAUUGCAACUGGCUUGGUGUGGGCCUGAAGCAGUGAUGGAGCACCUGGUGGGAGUGUGGACAGCCCAGGGAGCACAGGUGGAAGCAAUUCUUCUGUGGAGUGAGAUGGGGUGGAGCCAGGCUGCAUCCCCCUCUGAGCUCAUGGAAGGGCUGGCAGUCACAGGGGAAGGAUCUGUGCCUGGAUGCUGCCAUUUGUGUUGUGUUGGGCGAGUCCUGAGCCUUGGGAAGGGUUGAGGAGUUGUUUGUUUGCUCAUUCAUGAUUGUCUCUGUGUGUUUUUGUUCGGGAGGUGGUUGCAGAUGCCAGGAGUUUUCCUGAGUGGUGCAAGGACUCUACUGAGGAUCUUAGUGGACCCAGCGAGGAACCAAAGCAAAGGAUGGACCCCAAUAUCCUUGCUGCAUGACGGCAGGCAAGCUCUAUUGCUCCCAGAGAGUGUUGUUGCUAUUCGGGCCGUUCAGUAUGAUUGGUAUCAGCUUGUUGGUCCAGCUUGACCAACACUCACCACGUCUGUCCCUGCACCAGCUGCCUUUAGGUGUCGAUCAAGUGGCAGUGGAGAGUUGUGACCCUCCCAAAGGGUGCAAGGACUCUACUGAGGCUCUUGGUGGACACAGCAGGAACCCACAGCCAGAGAUGGAUGCCAAGAUCUGCUUAUUCCUCUGUCUGGCAAGCUCUGCUGACCCCGGAGGUCGUUUCCACGCUUGCAGGGGUCCUAUAGGCUUGGUGUUGGUUGUUGCUUGUCCUCACCUUGCUGUCACCGGGUGUUCUUCUUUUGCCCAUUUUUAGGGCUCCCCAGUUCUGAUGGGAUCUCCAUGUCUUCUGUUGAUCCCAGAGUACUUCGAUUUGUUAUUUUAUUUUCAGGUUCAGUACCAUUUCAUGCUUUUAUGCUGUGUUUUUUCUUCCUUCCUUUUGUUUUACAGGCUGGAAAUGUACACCUGAUGGGAUCUAUGAUGACCCAAAUGCAGUCUAGGAAGGUUUGACCAAGUGUGGUGGGAAAGGAAGAGGAUUGGGGAUGUCAGCACCAGAUGCCGUUGCACUUUGUGACCUACCCGCCUUGCGUCUUUGAUGUGCCCAGAUCAUUGGAAAGGGGUAAGAGAUCUGUAUUUCAUUAUUAGAAGGUGAUCUCUACUUACCUUGUCUUGUGUCCAUCAGGUGGCAGUGGAGAGUUGUUGAGGGAUGGCUCCACAGCCAAGGGGGCCGUGGGUCUCUUGAACAGUUGUACAAGCAGAACAGGCCUAACAAUUGGUAGGAGUUACAAAUGGAAAAGUACUAGCUCAUUAUAAUGGCUGUGAGCUCGGGUGCUAUGUGCACAACCCAGGCUAUGAGACCUUGAAGCUGUCAAAGCAGGAAGAAAAACUGAGGCUUCAGUUAAGAUAAAGGGGUAGCUCUCCUGGGAAGAGAGAAAGACAGUGGAAUGGUAUGAAAACACGCAUGACCAAUGGUAUUGUUAGGUAGGAGGCUUUUCACAAUGCUCCAACCAAUUACAAGCUGAUGCAUUUGCUACAAUCUAUAUAUGUGUGUAAGAAGCGGAAAAUAAAUGGAAAUUCUGAUGCACUCAUAUUGGGUCAUGUCAUUACUCCCCACGCGGCUCGGCCAGCAAAUGGAUGAUUCCGGUUUUGAACCCUUGGGGGUCCACAACAUCUGGCACCUGAACAGGGACCUGAGAAACUGGGAUUGAAGGUCAGAAUGUUUGUGUAGCGUGAUUCGGACCAAGAGCAGUAACGUUGCAGUGGCAAGUUGGGGGGCAGCAUUGCCUAGACUGACUAAAAGGGGUCUGCACAAGAUCUGGAGGGCUCUAUUGGGCACUGCGUACGGCGCACAGCGGUGGGAUGCGGAGUGCACGGCACAGCGCACAGCGGUGGGACGCAGAACGCACAGCGGUUAGACGUG